CAGUAGCCGCGGUAAUACGAAGGGGGCUAGCGUUGUUCGGAUUUACUGGGCGUAAAGGGCGCGUAGGCGGGCGAAUCAGUCAGGGGUGAAAUCCCAAGGCUCAACCUUGGAACUGCCUUUGAUACUGUUUGUCUUGAGUUCGAGAGAGGUAAGUGGAACUGCGAGUGUAGAGGUGAAAUUCGUAGAUAUUCGCAAGAACACCAGUGGCGAAGGCGGCUUACUGGCUCGAAACUGACGCUGAGGCGCGAACGCGUGGGGAGCAAACAGGAUUAGAUACCCCCGUAGUCCCUGUCUCUUAUAA
rnacentral:rRNA from 1 species